rnacentral:rRNA from 1 species
AGUGAACGCUGGCGGUAGGCCUAACACAUGCAAGUCGAACGGCAGCACAGUAAGAGCUUGCUCUUACGGGUGGCGAGUGGCGGACGGGUGAGGAAUACAUCGGAAUCUACUUUUUCGUGGGGGAUAACGUAGGGAAACUUACGCUAAUACCGCAUACGACCUACGGGUGAAAGCGGGGGAUCUUCGGACCUUGCGCGAUUGAAUGAGCCGAUGUCGGAUUAGCUAGUUGGCGGGGUAAAGGCCCACCAAGGCGACGAUCCGUAGCUGGUCUGAGAGGAUGAUCAGCCACACUGGAACUGAGACACGGUCCAGACUCCUACGGGAGGCAGCAGUGGGGAAUAUUGGACAAUGGGCGCAAGCCUGAUCCAGCCAUACCGCGUGGGUGAAGGAGGCCUUCGGGUUGUAAAGCCCUUUUGUUGGGAAAGAAAAGCAGCAGGUUAAUACCCCGCUGUUCUGACGGUACCCAAAGAAUAAGCACCGGCUAACUUCGUG